GACAAAACAGCUCCACCGGAGCCCUAGAUUGGUUCUGCCCAAGUUCCGCCUCGAGACUGCGGUGCUUUGUUCCAAAAGCUUCCUUGUGGUUUUUUCGGGUCAAAACACACCAUAUAGCAGAAGAUGGGCCUCGGCGGCUGCCAAGUGGCCCACAAGACAGGGGCGCGCCCAGGGGGUAGGGCGCGCCCCCAUCCUUGUGGAUGGCAGGUGGCCCUCCUCAGGUGCUUUCUUCACCCAAUAUUUUUUAUAUUUACUCCUGUAAAGAUGCGAAUAGGUGAUGAUGAUGUGUCUACCUUCGGGCUAUAUUUAUUGUCCGAUAUGAAACCAAGGGCCGAGAUUAACUAAGUGUGUUGUGGCGAGCCAUCCGCCAAAACAGACAUAGUAGUCUGGAGGUUUCUCCUGCUCUUGCGAAACAGACUUUUCUAGAAUCGCUCCAAAUUUCUCGCCGCCAGCCCCUCCCCUCUCUUUCCUGCGAGCGCUAGAUCUGAGUUCCGCCAGCAUCACAUCUCUAGCUAUCGGUUGUUGGGGAAGGAGAAUGGCACACGGCUAUCGACGGACGGAGUCGAAAGAAAUAGCAGACUUAGGACAAUCCAUUGGAGGUGGUGCUGGUGGCGCGUACACACGUCGUCGCGGACCCGAGGCCAGCCGGAAUCUGUACCAAAGGGUGUCGUGGAAGAGCCUGGUGUGCAGCGGCGGUCAUCGGGGUCGGGGAAGAUGACCGCGACAGGGAUAUCGUGGUAUCCAAGAGGCAAUAGCUAUGGGCGCUCCGGUUCAAUCUCGUUGGCCUGAACCACCUGCCGAGCGGGAGCAGCGCGGGCCCCCGGGAGAUGGAUAUCGAUCGAUGCAUGACAGGCGGCGGUCAGGAGCAGCGGAGGCACGACAGGCGGUUGUCUGGAGCAGUUGUGAGGCGUUGGCCAGGAGCAGUGAAGGCGUUAGCAGGCAGCGAACGGGAUCAGCGAUUAGGGAGAAAUGAGAGAAAAUUGAUUAAAGGCGCGUUCGCCAUCACGCAACCGUGCUUCCCGUCCUAAGCGACCUUGAAUGGCCCGUCGCGCGCACAGCCUCCAUUCCAGUGCGCCCGCUCCGGCCACCAUCCUGUAGUCGUGGUCUUCUACCUGUAAAAUAGAAAAUUAAUCAAUCAGCCGAGCUGCUACAGUGUAUCUUCCAUUCCCCAAGCUGUUGCGCAUGAGGACCUAUCCCAAUGGAUAGUGAGCGCGGCAGCAAGCGGACGAGCUCGCUGUGGCGGGCGCCGCGACGGGCGCUAGACCGCAAGCCUAUUUCUACAGGUCCUACAGGUUCAGUAUGUGACGGGCCAGCUGCUACAGGUUCUUCGCCCACAGCCCAUACGCGCCGCUUCGGAGAAGUGAGCAGCCGCGGAUGGAAUUUGGCAGUGCGUCGUCGGUCACACCAACGCCGCCAUGUGUUUGGCAGUUCCAAGGGGCAUUUCGGCACCUGCGUCUCCUAAUUGUCCCCUAAUGCCCUGAAUCAGUACGCAAUGGCAUAUUUCAAAGUAUAGAAACUUUGCAUUGGCAUGUCUCAAAAUAUGGAAGUAGUGAUGGCAUUUCGACCUAAAACUUUGUAGUGGCAUAUAUCAAAUUUACCCGUAAAUCUAA